GAAAUGCGAUAAGUAAUGUGAAUUGCGGAAUUCAGUGAAUCAUCGAAUCUUUGAACGCACCUUGCGCUCCUUGGUAUUCCUUGGAGCAUGCCUGUUUGAGUAUCAUGAAAUCUUCAAAGUAAAUCUUUUGUUAACUCAAUUGGUUUCUACUUUGGUAUUGGAGGUCUUUGCAGCUUCACACCUGCUCCUCUUUGUUCAUUAGCUGGAUCUCAGUGUUAUGCUUGGUUCCACUCGGCGUGAUAAGUUAUCUAUCGCUGAGGACACUGUAAAAGGUGGCCAAGGUAAAUGCAGAUGAACCGCUUCUAAUAGUCCAUUGACUUGGACAAUACUUUUAUGAUCUGAUCUCAAAUCAGGUAGGACUACCCGCUGACCUUAAGC
rnacentral:misc_RNA from 1 species